UUGCUUUUCUGAACAAUAUUCCACUAUUUAUUUAAAUUCAGAGGGCUUGUUAUAUUCACUAAAAUUAUUUGCAUACAAUCUUGCGAAAAAGAUGGAGUAAACAUCACAACCUUAAAUCAGAGAAUCACACAUCUAGUAUUUUUACUUGGAUGGAUCAUUUUGGACGAAGAUGAAAUAGGCAAUGACAAUAGUACCGAUGAUUCUGCCAAAAAUAGCAGCGAGGCUAGUUAACAACCUCCAUUUUCUGUGUGACAUCCUUCAAUCUUCUUCUUUCAAAACUCUUUAAUCUCAAUAUCGCCAUAUCAUUUUUCCUUAAAACAGG
rnacentral:lncRNA from 1 species